rnacentral:rRNA from 1 species
AAUAGUGUAUAUUAAAGUUGUUGCAGUUAAAAAGCUCGUAGUUGGAUGUCGGUAACUAUCAUGAGUGUCUACUCUCAAUGAGUACGUACACGAAUGUAGUACCUUCUUUCUGGUAGUAAUCUUGUGUUGCUCCAGAUAUUUUACUUUGAGAAAAUUAGAGUGUUCAAAGCAGGCGUAACUUUGCCUUUGAAUAUAUUAGCAUGGGAUAAUGAAAUAAGACUUUUGCCUUAUUCUCGUUGGUUCUUUUAGGCUUAAGUAAUGAUUAAUAGGGACAGUUGGGGUUAUCUGUAUUUGAUCGCCAGAGGUGAAAUUCUAAGACUGAUCAAAGACAAACUACUGCGAAAGCAUUUAACAAGGAUGUUUUCAUUAAUCAAGAACGAAAGUUGGGGGAUCGAAGAUGAUCAGAUACCGUCGUAGUCCCAACCAUAUACUAUGUCGACCAAGGAUUCGAAAGCGUUACAUGAAUGACCUCUCGGGCACUUAUAGAGAAAUCAUAAGUAUUUGGAUUCCGGGGGGAGUAUGGUCGCAAGGCUGAAACUUAAAGAAAUUGACGGAAGGGCACCACAAGGAGUGGAAUAUGCGGUUUAAUUUGACCCAACACGGGAAAACUUACCAGGUCCAGACACGAGGAGGAUUGACAGAUUGAGAGCUCUUUCUUAAUUUUGUGGGUGGUGGUGCAUGGCCGUUUCUAGUUGGUGGAGUGAUUUGUCUGGUUAAUUCCGUUAACGAACGAGACCUUAACCUAUUAAAUAGUAACAUCUACUUGGAUAAUUUACUUCCAAUAGUAGGUGGUUUACUUCUUAGAGGUACUCUUCACGUAAAGAGUGAAUGGAAGUUUGAGGCAAAAACAGGUCUGUGAUGCCCUUAGAUGUUCUGGGCUACACGCGUGUUACACUGAUACAUUCAACAAGUAUAAUAUUCCUUACUCUAGUGAGUCGGGUAAUCUUCUAAAUAUGUAUCGUGAUGGGGAUAGAGCAUUGUAAUUUUUGCUCUUGAACGAGGAAUUCCUAGUAAGUGCAAGUCAUUAACUUGCGCUGAUUACGUCCCUGCCCUUUGUACACACCGCCCGUCGCUCCUACCGAUGAAUGGUCCGGUGAGGAUUCGGGAUGACCUUUGAUGCUGAUCUAAUCACAUCACUGAUUGUCAGAACUUAUUCAAACCUUAUCAUUUAAAGGAAGGAGAAGUCGUAACAAGGUU